rnacentral:rRNA from 1 species
AUUGAACGCUGGCGGCGGGCCUAACACAUGCAAGUCGAGCGGGAACUUCGGUUCUAGCGGCGGACGGGUGAGUAAUGCGCAGGAAGCUACCCGACAGAGGGGGAUACCAGUUGGAAACGACUGUUAAUACCGCAUAAUGUCUACGGACCAAAGUGUGAGACCUUCGGGCCACAUGCUGUCGGAUGCCCCUACGUGGGAUUAGCUAGUUGGUGAGGUAAUGGCUAACCAAGGCCACGAUCCCUAGCUGGUUUGAGAGGAUGCUCAGCCACACUGGAACUGAGACACGGUCCAGACUCCUACGGGAGGCAGCAGUGGGGAAUAUUGGACAAUGGGCGCAAGCCUGAUCCAGCCAUGCCGCGUGUGUGAAGAAGGCCUUCGGGUUGUAAAGCACUUUCAGUAGGGAGGAAGGAGUUGUCGUUAAUAGCUGCAACUUUUGACGUUACCUACAGAAGAAGCACCGGCUAACUCUGUGCCAGCCGCCGCGGUAACAC